UACAGAGGUGGCAAGCGUUGUUCGGAAUUACUGGGCGUAAAGUGUGCGCAGGCGGCUCCGCAAGUCGAGUGUGAAAUCCCCGAGCUUAACUUGGGAAUUGCGCUCGAAACUACGGAGCUGGAGUGUGGCAGAGGAAGGUGGAAUUCCACGUGUAGCGGUGAAAUGCGUAGAUAUGUGGAGGAACACCGAUGGCGAAGGCAGCCUUCUGGGCCAACACUGACGCUCAUGCACGAAAGCGUGGGGAGCAAACAGG
rnacentral:rRNA from 1 species